rnacentral:rRNA from 1 species
GGGGAAUUUUGGACAAUGGGGGCAACCCUGAUCCAGCCAUGCCGCGUGAGUGAAGAAGGCCUUCGGGUUGUAAAGCUCUUUCGGCGGGGAAGAAAUGGCAACGGCUAAUAUCCGUUGUUGAUGACGGUACCCGCAUAAGAAGCACCGGCUAACUCCGUGCCAGCAGCCGCGGUAAUACGGAGGGUGCAAGCGUUAAUCGGAAUCACUGGGCGUAAAGCGCGCGUAGGCGGCUUUUUAAGUCGGACGUGAAAGCCCUCGGCUCAACCGGGGAAUUGCGUUCGAAACUGGGAGGCUUGAGUCCUGGAGAGGGUGGCGGAAUUCCGGGUGUAGGAGUGAAAUCCGUAGAUAUCCGGAGGAACACCGGUGGCGAAGGCGGCCACCUGGACAGGUACUGACGCUGAGGCGCGAAAGCGUGGGGAGCAAACA